rnacentral:rRNA from 1 species
UUUGAAAAGAGAGUUAAACAGCACGUGAAAUUGUUGAAAGGGAAGCGCUUGCGACCAGACUCGCCCGCGGGGUUCAGCCGGCAUUCGUGCCGGUGUACUUCCCCGUGGGCGGGCCAGCGUCGGUUUGGGCGGCCGGUCAAAGGCCCCUGGAAUGUAGUACCCUCCGGGGUACCUUAUAGCCAGGGGUGCAAUGCGGCCAGCCUGGACCGAGGAACCCCGCUUCGGCACGGACGCUGGCAUAAUGGUCGUAAACGACCCGUCUUGAAACACGGAAC